rnacentral:rRNA from 1 species
GGAACCUUACCUGGGCUCGAACGUAAGAUGACUGUAGGUGAAAGCUUACAUCUCUUCGGAGCAUUUUACGAGGUGCUGCAUGGUUGUCGUCAGCUCGUGCCGUGAGGUGUCGGGUUAAGUCCCAUAACGAGCGCAACCCUACCUUUAGUUGCCAUCAGGUAAUGCUGGGGACUCUAAAGGAACUGCCUACGCAAGUAGUGAGGAAGGCGGGGAUGACGUCAAAUCAGCACGGCCCUUACGUCCAGGGCUACACACGUGCUACAAUGGCCGAUACAGAGGCAGCUACCUGGUGACAGGAUGCAAAUCUCCAAAAGUCGGUCUCAGUUCGGAUCGGAGUCUGCAACCCGACUCCGUGAAGUUGGAUUCGCUAGUAAUCGCGCAUCAGCCAUGGCGCGGUGAAUACGUUCCCGGGCCUU